UGUUUGUCCUAUCUUCUCUUCUCUCUCAUCUCCUAUCUUUCUUUCUCUCUCUAUCUGUCCAUAACCCUAGAUUUGAAGAUCGAGGGCGAUCAUGGUAAAAGACUUCAUAGAAAUUCUAUAACAUUCAAGCUGUGUUUAUAUGAAUACGAGCGUUGAAAUUUGAUCCCAUCGCGUUUUCAUAUAUGUUCCAAAAUGCUUGUAUAGAUAUGUGUGUGCAUAGACAUAGAGUGUCGGAAAU